CAUGAACGAAGUCAAUAUAACCCAAGUUGGCAAAGUUUGUUGUUUCGCGGACACCGCAUUUAAAGACCCAGCAGGACUUAACGCAAAAGGCGAAAAGGAAGAAUCCCCUGUGGUCACGAGAUUCUAUAUAGGUGUUCAGGCUUCUGAAGUCAAGGGAAAUUUGCUGCCAGUGGACCUAAUGAUAAUGUCCUAGAAUAAUAAUCCUAGAAAUAAUAUGGCAGAGAAUGAAGUCGCAACGGCAAUGACAAAAGAGCCUGAAGUGCUGAAGAGCAGAACGACUGGAGGAUGGCAACGGUACUUCCUGUUCACAAAUCAGGCGACACUCAAUCCCCAGCACAUUGUGUCCUCCACGUAAUGCAGGUGCUGUCAAUCUGGAUUCCGCGAUGUCUCGCGACGUGUUCCACGG